AUGCUGUGGAAGGCUCUUGAGAGCACUCAAGUAGAGGCAACUGGAUUCUCCAGGUGUUACUAAAAUAGGAGAGGUUAUGUAAGUCAAGAUGGUAGAGCUGACUUGGGAAUCACUUCGCAUUUGUAUUUUUUCUGUGCUCAGUAAAUUAAUUCCCAGCAGGACAUUUGAACUGAUAAGACAGUGAAGCUUAGAGAAACCAGACACCAUGGUAUGGAUUUGUGUGUGUAUGUGCUUAAAAAAAGGUUUAUCUAACUUUCAUGAGAACACUGAAUAUAUUUAAUAUGACAUAAACUAUUAGACUUUUGUACAUUCAGCUAAUAGCACAUGACUAAAAGAAGAGAUGAAAUGUGGUGAAUUGCCUCUGUGCUAUGGUGCUAGUAUGCUUGAUCUCUUGUCCUUAAGAAUAAUAUGAGUGAUGCUGUGGUUAGAAAAGUUUCAUAUAAAUGGUACCUCUGUCUUAGAGGAAGAUCUGGUAAAUGGAUUUAUUUCCCAAUGGGACAAUGAACAAAAUUGUUCAAUAUAUUUAAUACACAACGAACUUCUGCAAUCAUACAUAAGAUUUAAGUCUUUUGAGUAAAGAGGUAAUCUAUGCAGUAGUAUGUUUUUCACAGAGACUUUUCUUGGAUUUUCAUCUUUCAGACUCUAUCUUCUUAGUGAUUGAGUUCUAGUCUUAGUCUUCCUUAUAAGAGGUAAAUAGAAUAGUGAGAAUCCUCAGAUAAGCCAUAUAUUUUCCAUCUGCCUUUUAUUUUUCCUUAUCUUUGUCCAAAUGGUUCUUCGUAAUAUAUAUAUUACAUAUAUGUGUGUGUGUGCGUGAGUGUGUAUCUGGCAUUAAGCCAUAUGUACUGUAUAGAGAGAUUGGAUGUGUUUUCAUGUCCUCACUUACCAAUUUCAGAAUAUUAUAGAAGGAAACAAUGCCUGUAUAGCUAUAACAAGAGAUUUCCUCCCAAAUCCAAAUUCUUUUAAAAGAGGGUCAUAAUUUUUACAUUUAAUUGUUUAUAAGAGUUGAUGAAAGGCACCAGAGUGACAAGCCCUAGAAGGCAGCGUUUUCAGAUUUUCUACCCAUCAGUGGCAGAACUGGUGGGUGGUAAAUUUCCCCUUAGAAAUCCCAUUAAGGUUUCUCAAUGUCCUCCUUAACUUGGCCUUAUUCCACGUGAACCUUCAUGUCCUGGGUUUUAGGUCUGACAAUGAGGUAAUUAUGAAAAGAAUAUUGGUUCUAUAAUAAACUUAGCCUUUUAUUUCAACUACACCGAAUGACGGCAGAAACAUGAACAGCCAGUUAGCUGGAGCAGUAUGCACAUGACCAAGGAAAAUGAGAGGGAGAAAAAGACCAAUGACCCCCCAACGCCCACUCAGAAACCCCAAACAAUAGUGCACUUCUAAAUUUAGGAAACAACUCAUGGCCAGGAUAUCUUUAUAGCGACAGAGCUGGAAGCCAGGCUCCUGAGUGAAAAGUAUAUUUAGCUCACACUUAAAAAUUUGAUUUCCUUAUAUUGUCUUCUUCCCUCUUAUCAUUGUUUAAAGACAAGUCCUGGACUAUUGAGUCUCUCUUCCCCCUGAUCAGGGAAUUUACUGGAGAGUCUAACUUGUGAUACAUUGGUUGGCAGAGGUGUAUUCCCAUUAUAUUCAAAACUAUGUUCACGGAAAAUCUUUCUCUGUUUUGGUCAUGCUAGUUCAGUGGUAGAAAAUGAAAGCCCACUGUCAGCCAUGAGACUCUUAGGCACACAGCUGUGGCAAUACCAGAAAGCCUUCCAGAAGAAGGAAAUCCCUUUCUGGUGGUAAGCAUUGCAUUUUGCAAUGAAAGAAUAGCAAGGGAGCCUUUUGUGAAUUCUUGCUAGCAGCCUCAGAAUUGGAGCAUCUGCUGCUGCCUGGAGGUGAGUCUUGGGCUCUCUUGUCAUUUAUCAGUAUGGCUUCCAGGUUCCAUUCUCCCAGCUUUCUACCUCCUCCCUCUUCCCUGGAAGGCGUCCAAGGUGCUAGGGGGUGAAGAUGAUUCAGCAGGAUGAAAGCUACCUGAGCACACCUCCCUAACACCCACUCCUUUAAGCACCAAAGGUAAGGAGAGAGCACCUCUGCCCCCAGAAGAAAGAUUGCACAGGUGCAAUUUUACAUUUUCAAUUCUUUCCCUCUUUAACACUAGAUAAACUUACUUCCCUUGUUAUAAGUUUUCCUGAGGAUGCCAGAAAAGAUUUUCCUCUUGCUGAUUUUUUUGUGCCUUCCUAUCUUGAUCACAGAUAGUUGACUGAGUGAAAGCUAACUCAGAGAGAAUUACCAGAUAAUGAUGAUGUGUAUAUGGCUGGUGAACCCUACAGUUCUUGCUCAAACAUAUUUCAUACCUAAAGUCAUGGCUGUUACUUGCUUAUGUCACUGAAUCAAAUGGAUGAGAUGAUUUUACAAGUGAUACAGUAUUUACCUUCAGUAAAGUAGAAUAUCUUCCUAGUGUGGUUGGUAUUACCUAGAUUUGGAUAUUCAGCUGGUCAAAUCACAGCCCCUUGGUCAUUUUGCUUAUGAAGAACCAGAAAGCCUGACUCUGAUUCCUCUCUGAGUGGUUUUACUCACUCUAGCAUUAGAACCAGAAUCCACUGGCUCUGAUGCUUCUCUGACUGGAGUUAUUUGAAGAUUAUUCAUUGGAAUAAGAAUGUUGAAGACAUUUAAGCAACUUCGUGUUCCUGGUAAGGCUUGUAUAACCUACCUGUCUCAAUAAGGAAUUAUUUUCUGAUCAAUGAUUUCAGUGAUCUUUUAUUACAUUUCAUUUCUUUAAUACGCACAUGGAUUUAGUUGGGAUGUCAAAUGCUUAAGCCCUUUACAUCAGUAAAGAAAACAUGUGUUCUUAACUUAUUUUACAUGUUAAUAAAAUAAGUUAACUUGUUUUUACAUGUUAAAAAUAAAACAUGCCCACAAUAAAUCAUUAAGAGUAGCCAAUGAGACACAAACCUAAAUCAAGAUACUUUUGUCAUUAGCACUAAUUUUUUUGAGAACAAAAACAAGCUAUCAGGCAUUUUAAAAAAAAGUUUUAUAGGUUGUUGGUUAGUAGCUUCCAAUCAUGGGAUUUUCCCAGAAUAAGAUUUUGAUAAGACAGUAAAGAAAAACACAGACACACAUCCUGUUUCUCCCGCCCCUCCAGCUCAAGCUUAUCAACUUUAAAAACAGUUACAUUUUAAACACUUAAAAAAAGAAAUCAAAUCACCCUCCCCCCAUAUAUUUAUAUAUGUAUAUAUAAACAAUAGCUUUUAAAUUAUUGGGGCAUUUCAUACCAUAUGGAAAAGGAAAAAACUAAAAUAUAAGACAAAUGACUUGCAUGUCAAAGCAACACACGUGUGGGGUACAUCUGACUUUAUAACUGGGGAGGAAAAGAGCAUGUUUUCUUGCAAACAGCCUCUAAAAAAGGUUGCUCAUGACUCAGUUCCUCUCUCUUGCCGUCACAUAGAUACAUAUAUGAUUCAGUGUGCUGUUCGACACACUGUUGUAAAGACUGACUUUUUUUUUGCAAGUCUGAAUUACUCCCCUGCUUGGUCAUUAUUUGUUGAUUAUAAUGGUAUUACACAUUGUAUUGAUUUCAUCAUAGUGGAGAUUAAAAAUAUGAAAGCAAUUUAGAAUUGGAGGUGUGCAACAAAAUGAAAUGAAGAAAGUUAACAUAGCAACCAAAUUUCUGUUUUGUGUUUGUUUUGUCCUUGUAGAAUAGGCACAACUUUGACCCAUUUGCAGUGUGGAAAGUUAUCUUUUGAACUUUAUUGGAAUUAAUACAGUUAACCAAUUUAGGAGAAUGUAAAUUUGCAUUUUUGUGGUCUUCUAAUGGCUAUUUUGCAUAUUAAAGGUAAGGCCUUCCUUAAAAUAUGCAGUCCUCUCUUGAUUAUGCCAGCUCUUUGCUCAUUCUGCUAAAGCUAUAAAUAAAGCUUCUAUUUAAGGCUGGCAUUAUAUCAACCCACCUGCUUCUACCAGAGAGAGAGAGAGAAAAAAAAAAUCAGAAUCACUCAACCUGCAGAUUGCUGUCAGCUUGUGAUUAUGUGAAUGGUAAGUCUUAACUUUUAAAGUGUUAUGUGAGAUAAGCUGGAGGGCUUUUUUAAAAAGCAAUUUCCAGUUUAACAAUUACCCAAGAAUGUCUGAGUACCAAUGAAUAGGAGACUUUUCCCUGGAGAGAGCAUUCAUUGAUGAAGUAGGACAGCAGCUGGGAGGUGACAGUGGUGAGUAAGGCAAGAGCUAGAGAAUGAGGGAUCUUUUCAAUUGUGUCAUCAGGAAAGGAGGCAGGAAUGGGGGAGUACCAAAUCUUUCCUCUCUCUGUGAGCUGUCUAGGGGGAGUUAGUAUUUCCAGCUCUUUCCCUCCUUCCUAUUCAGAAUGUUUUCCAGGGAGAUGAGGGAGGGGGAGGGAGAAGAGGUAUUAAAGACCUUGGCCAUCUGGAGAAGGGCAGUCAGUCUGGGGUACAUGCAAGCUUGUCUUGAUCGGAUUGCCGUGUUUUGAAAGAGGAACAUCAGCUUCCAUUCAGGCCUGUUUUAGAAAAAUAAAUCUUUUACAAACUCCUUAAUUAUGUCUAUUUUUUUUUGCUACAAAUAUUUUAUCUUAGACAAUCUAUUGAAAAGCUCACACCAAGAUAAGCGGCUAACAUCUGGGGGGAAAAUAUUCAGCUACAUUAACUGCCACCAAAACAGAAAGCCAACUUCAGAUUUGGAAACCUGUCAUUCAAUGUUGAUUUAAAACAUUGUUUACUUGCCUCAAUUGUGGAAGUCUAGACCUAUGGCUCCUAAACCCAGUUGUCUUUAGGUAUCUUAGCUAGGUAUCUUAGAAAAUCAGCUCUCAUUUUGAUCUUGUUGACUAACGCUGUGAUGCUCUCCUUUCCCCACAGCAGUACUUUUGCUGGAGUGAGAAUGAGCAGUCUUCCUUGGGAAUGGCUUUGAAGCCAUUAAGGGGAGAGUAACAGAUUUGUGUCCAAAGUUUGCAAAAGUACUCUCUGCUGCCCAACAUGCAAAUCUAAAAUCAAGUCAGAUAAUAUUCCUUGAGGCUUUCCGUAUACAAAGGCAAAGAUAACUCUAGAACUCCUCAAUCAGAAAAUGGUAAGGAUUUUAGGAGAAAGGUUGGGAGUUUCAAAGCCAAGGGCGGAAAGUCACUGGCAAUCACCAGGCAUCUGAUAUUACUAGUCUAAUGGGGAAUGUUUCUAGGACCUUCUUCCCAGGAGCAAAAGGGAUAAAGCUUUACCUAAGAACUGAGUAGAAUGAAUGGCCUUGGCCGCAAAUGUUCGGUUACCAGGUUCAUGUGGCACAAAAUCCACUUGGAAUGGCUCAAGUGAGCUAUAUAAAGGUGACCAGGGCAAUAAGGAAUAGGGAUAAACAUAGACACUGGCAAAAGUUAAAGAGCAUAACCUCUGAUGCGUCUUCAGUUAGAAGCUAACUAUAAAAACAAGUAAUAAAGUUAAUAGGAUGGAAAUGGAUUCAAGUGUCUCCCUCCAACCUUUCUGUAAACUCUUGAUCAGCCUUUUUGUCAGGUGUUAGUCUUCUAAGCCGAAGAUUAUAUAUAUUUUUUUCUUUCUUAGAAACCUCAAGACAUACUCUGAGGUGUUGAACAGUUAACGUCAACAGUUCCUAAAGGAUAGUUGGAAAGAAAUACUCUGAGAAGAUGAUGAACCAGAGAUGAGUACUAGGAGCAAAAUUUGGUCCAUGUGCUGAUCCAAGCUGUUAUUCCCCACCAUGCUAUGGUCUAGUAGGAUCUAACAAAGAGGUACAAAUUGUGGCACACCACCUUCUGAAGAAACCAAGGGCUUUGUUACAGUAAACUGGUCCAGGGCGAUAUCACAAGUAUAAAAAAUAUUCCAUUCUGUAUCAAAACUAGGCACAUGCCUUUAUUUAUAGUAACAGAAGUUAACAGAGUUGAGCAUUGUUGCCUUGGGUCCUAUUUCUUGGCAUCCUACAUCAGACAAACGCAUCUUUCAACAUAUAUCCGCCCAUAACUCCAGGGAUCUAGUCUCAGGGUUAUCUCUAUGUAAAGGAAGGUGAAAUCACACUUGGAUCUAUAGUGGACAGAAAGCACUGCAAAGAAGACUUGGAUUUCCUCUGAGGACAGAUUCAGAAGAUCCUGCAGAAGGAAGUCCCCAAAAGGAUGAUAUAGUGAUAAGAGAGGAUUUCAGCCAUCAUGGAAAAAAGAAAAAAAAAAAAGAAAAAAAAGAAAGAGAUGAUGUUGAUUGUAUGUUUUUGUUUAAAAAGGAAGCUUAGAAGAGUAACAGCUACUUUGAUGGAUGAUAAGAACUCAGUCGUGUGGAUACAUCUAUGCCUGGGGGGCUGGGGAAUGAAGUUUAACUAUGUACCUAUGAGGAAGAGAAAGUAAGUUUGGUAAGUAGCUAGCCAUUCUCUUUCAAAAUAAAUAUAAAUUGAUUAUUAAGUAUCAAUCUAGUGUGCAUUGCUAUAUUUAAGCUUCCAUUGUUUAUUUUUCAGAAAGGGUUUAGACAGCUGGAAAAUUACUUUAUUAUCUAAAAUAUCAUUGAUACAAUUUUACAUGCAUUUGUUUUUUCCUUUCUAGCAUUCUUUUCUUUUUUCUUUUUUUCAUUUUUACACAUUAGGGAAACAGACAAUGGUAUCUUGCCACACUAAGGUUCAACUUUGGUGCUUAUUGAUGUAAUCACUGCCAGAUAGAGGACCGCAUCUAAAAUUCCCAUUUCGGUGCCUAUUCUUAACUAAGUCAUUAUUAGAUUCCUGGGUGAUAGGAAUUUUACCAUUUUUCUAGCUAGCUACUUUGUAGAUGGAAAAUGAAGGCAAAUGCUUUUUUUUUUUUUUUUAAAUAGCUAUACAGCAAAAAACCUAAGCAAGAACAUGUCAUUUUUAUAUCCCAAGACACUCAAUAGAUUUUUGCUUCUAACUUUAGUACAUAGUUGGGGAUGUUCCUUUAUUUUAUCAACUGAUGGCUGCCAGAUAAUUGCUUGAAUUUUCUCCAGGAAAGAUUGGGAAACUAUCAAAAAAGAAAGUCUAUUCAGUUCAACUCAAACACAUAAGUACCCUCUAUGUUCAAGGCAGAGAGCUAGAGACAUAGAGUUGAGUAAUGCAAUUCUUGUUCUCAAGAGUUAAGAGUCUAGUAGGGAAACUGUCCAGUAAACAAAUUAAUGAUAUUAAUGUCAUUUUCCCAAAUUGGAAUCAAAUUACAACUUUAAAUUCAUGAGUGUAUUUUAUUACAUUAUUUAAUAUAUUGAAUGAAAUAUUACCUAAAACACUGUCCAGUCAUGGAGAAAUAAUUUCAUUGCCUAUCAUUCAUAUCCUUAAAGUGACUGUUAUGUGGGAAUUAAAAUCAUGGUUAUAGGGGAUAUUUAAUAACUUGGAAAAUUUUUAUGUGCAAAAAUGUUAAGUGAAAAAAGUAGGGUAUAUUGGGAAUUCCUAUUGUAGCUCAGUGGAUUAUGAACCCAACUAGCAUCCGUGAGGAUGCAGGUUUGAUCACUGGCCUCACUCAGGAUCAGCCAUUGCUGUGAGCUGUGGUGUAGGUCACAGAUGCAGUUUGGAUCCUGCAUUGCUGUGGCUGUGGUGUAGGCCAGCAGCUGCAGCUCUGAUUCGAAACAAGCCUUGGAACUCCCAUAUGCCGUGGGUGUGACCCUAAAUAGACAAAAAAAAAAAGCAAAAAGGAUAUACAUUUGUAUCUAUAUUAUGAAUAUAAUUAAAGGAAAAUAUGCAUCAACCAAAAGAAAAUUUGUAAAAAAAAAAAAAAAAAAUUAGGUGUUAGAAUAAACACCCACAACUUGUAGCAACAAUCUGUCAAUUGUGGGGUUUUUUUUGUUUCUUGUUUAAAAAAUACCCUCAACAUGCAUUAUAUUACUUUUAAAAAAUAAACAGAGCAUAAAUAUAUAAGGAAAAUCCUUUGAAAUUCAAUCCCAAUUAUCCUGUUCUGAUGGACAACUGAUAUAUAGACAUGGACUAAUAUAACUUUUACUUAAUCAGCCACAUUAUAAAGUAGGGAAGAAGGUAAGCCCCCUUUUGGAUAUUAUCGUGCUCUGGAACUACCUUAUGAUUUCCCACCAUAUAUUAUGCAUGCACCUGUUAUAUUUUCUCGAUUAGAAUCUAUGUUCUUUGAGUUGGCAUCCAAGUACCUUAAUGGAAUAGCAGUUCUCAACCAUGCUGCCUCCAAACCAUGAGUAUAAAGUUAGUGGAAUAGAAAGGGCUCUAGUUUAUGCUAGAAAGGAAACUACACAGAUGCCUCAGCCUAUAUGAUAUAUGCCACAGCUCUUUUCAUACAUGAGCAUGCCUAUUUGUGUCCUGAAGUGUGAGGACAGUGUUGUUGUGCUCAACACAGUAUCUUGCACAAAGCAGUGGUAAGCCUUUAUGGACAGGUAAUAAUAGUAGCAUAAUGUUUCCAGAUGUUGGUUCUUUGUUACCAUGGCAUGGUUUUUGUUGAAUCAGUGUGUGAUGUGCACUAUUAUUAAAGUCAACUCAUUUUAAAAACCUAAAUACCCUAAAGUAAAAAUUUACUGUACAAUUUUAAAUGGAAAAUCAGAAAACAGUAAAUGUAAAGUAAUUUUAAAAACCUAAACAAUGGCUACAAAAUAAUGUUACCUUCUAGCUAAAAUUUCUUAUCUUCCAAGGCUCUGAGCUUGAACCCUGAUCUCCAUUUGGGACAAUGGCCAGGGUUAGAGAGUGUUAAAAUGUAGCUAUCCUCUUCCUUGUAAUCAGAGGAUUGACAGUAAAUUCGAAAGGGGAUAACUUUGUCUUCCUAUAUUCAGGGUUACUAAGCAUUUUAUGCCUCCUAAAAUCAGAGUAUCACAUUGGAAUUCAUCCCACACUUUGGAAAAUACAUUAAGGACUUAUGCAAUGAGCUUUUCACUUCUGAUAUUUCAUUUGUCAGAAUCCUGUAGGAGCAAUGAGACAUAAAGUAUCAUUUCGUAGAGUGAGGUACCUGACAAAUGCUGGAAAGGAGACCUGCACUUAAGCCCUCUGUCUACACCCUCAACGGUCUCUAAUUCCCAUUUCCUUCCUCUAACAUCCUCUCCUCUCUAUGUAGCUUUGGACAUCUCUUUUCCUCUUAUGGCUUGGUGUCACUUGCUACAGAUUGAAUAUUCAUGAGUAUUCUGUCCUUCAGCUGAGUGAUUUCUAAUGAGGGAACAGAGACAUCACAUCUCAAUUUCUUGGUUUAUUUCUUUGAGUUGAAAAUAUGUACAUGGGGCUGAAACUUUAUAUAUACAUGUAUACUUGUGCAUGUCUGAGAUUGAGUUGGUAUUUGUGUCUCCUUGGAGAAUAUACAUACACAUUACACACAAACAUGCAAACUAUAUAUACAUUAUGUAUGUGUGUGUGUACAUAUACACACACAUCCUAGGGAGGCGUAUGUGUGUUUGCCAGUUUAUUUGCAUUUUGGUAAACAUUUCUGGAAUAAGGGGGAAUCACACCUUAAAUAUUAUGUUUACCUUCAUGCACUAUACAUACUAAUUAUUCUCAUUUGGAUAAACUGUCUAGAAAGAAAACCAAUAAAUGGCUCAGCAAACAGAUUUUUAUGAGUGAAAAAUGAAGGUGAAAAACCGAUGAAGUAUGAAAGAGCUCAAAGAACAUAAAACAGCAUAUAAAAGGAAAUAAUUCUAGCAAUUCUAAAUUCAUUUCAGAGAAAACAAUAUCAUUUGAGGUUUUAACUCAACCAAUUCAGGGAUAUAACUCACAGGUUAUGUUUAUGUGGACUUUUACUUGAGUAUUUAAAGUCAGGUGAAAUCUUAAUUUAUUUUUAAGAUAAGAUCAUUGUGAUUUAAACUAGGCCAGGUAGAUUGCUUUGGGUAGUAUGGCCAUUUUUACAAUAUUGAUUUUUCCAAUCCAGGAACAUGGAAUAUCUUUCCAUUUCUUUACAUCUUCUUUGAUUUC